GGGCUUCCCCGGCGCCGCCGGGAGAGCUGGUGCUCGGAGGAUGCCAGCCCGCUUUGGCCGUGCCGCGCCGUGCCGUGCCCCUCCUCCGCGCCGCUGCUGGGGGGAGCGAGCCCGGCGGAGAUCUCCCCGCUGAGGAGGGGCCGGGACGGAACGCGCUCUGUAUCGUAUUAAAUUAAUCGCCCGGCUCCGGAGGAGGCAGGUGAUUCUGCCAAACACAAUGAGGGGUUUGAGCGCUGCGGAAUAAAGCGCCGUUCAUGGGGCCGUGGGCGGCCGUCCCCGGCUCCGCUGCGGGAUCUACGAAUCCCGGAGGAACACGUGUCUGUUACGUUAAUUGCACUAGCACUGGAGUGCUGUUUGCCAGGGAUGCAUGAAGGCCUCGGGAAUUAACUGCAAGAUCCUGCUCGGACUUUCCUCGGCCAGCAGCAAGUUGUGAGGGGUUGUCGAGGACGACCUCGUGUGAUUUCGGGGCGUGCUGCUGCCGGCCGGCCUCUUUGAAUCCAGGGCCAAAGACUCUUGGCUGGAGGUCAGGGUGGAAGCAGCUCCCUGUGCGCCCGUAGAUCUAUUUGCGCAGAGACACCACGACUACGUGAUCUCGCGGAACCUGUCGGUUUUGCUUUCUGGAGCGGCAGGGAAACCGGACACUUUUAUCAAUGACUCCCAUAGCAGUUCUUCUGGGUGUUCGCCAUAUUUAUCGCCAUCUAACCCCAUGAAGCCACAAGUGCUGUGUCACAGCCCCUGCCCUGCCCGGGGAUCUUGUCUGU